UACGUAGGUGGCAAGCGUUGUCCGGAUUUAUUGGGUUUAAAGGGUGCGUAGGCGGUCCUAUAAGUCAGUUGUGAAAUACGGCAGCUUAACUGUCGAGGUGCAAUUGAUACUGCAGGACUUGAGUACAGACGAGGUAGGCGGAAUUGACGGUGUAGCGGUGAAAUGCUUAGAUAUCGUCAAGAACACCGAUAGCGAAGGCAGCUUACUAGACCGUAACUGACGCUGAGGCACGAAAGUGUGGGGAUCGAACAGG
rnacentral:rRNA from 1 species